rnacentral:lncRNA from 1 species
GGAGCGUUUUCCUUCUGUAUUGAUGCUGACCUUUUUCUUCCCCCUCAUUAGCAGAGGCAACAACUAUGCCGCGUUUAGCUGUCUGACUCAGCCACCCAGGAGAGUGAGAGCUGUCAUUCCUGCUGUGUUCUCUGUCUCUGGAAAGCACAAAGUGGAAAGGAGACAACUCACGCUGGCUAAUGCUGAGGCCGGUCCAGCUCUGCAGAUGUGAAGGUUAAGCUGAAUAUCUGUGAGCAGAGAAGCCUCUGUGAGGAGGAAAGAAAAUCUAUUUAAAAGCUGAAAUGGAAAAACCCAGCAGCAAUCAAUCAGAAUAGGUAAGCAGAAACAGACUUUUUGACUGGGUCUAAAUGAGGAAAAAGGAGGGGUACUUCCCUUACCCAAUUAAACCUCGGGACAUACUUGUUCAGAAAAAAAGCACCGUUGCACGGGGCUUUGUAAAGUCACACCUCUCAUAAUGAGAUAAUGAUUCAUCUGUCAUGGGGAGAGGAGAAGGAUGUUACAUGAAAUCCAUUGCCUGGCAAUUAAUGCGAAACAGCUGAUACUUUUGUAAAGGCUAAUCUGGACAUUCAUUCUAAAUGUUCCAAGCUACACAUAUUAAUCACGGAAUAAUUUAGCCUGAAAGGGACAUCUGGAGGUCAUCUGGUCCAACUGGCUGCUCAAAGCAGGGCUUUGCCAUGAGAGCAAGUUGCUCAGGGUUUUGUCCAGUCCAAUUCUGAUAAGCUAUGAGAAUGGAGAUUCCCACCACCCCUAAAAUAAGGCAUCUUAGUGAAGGCAAGGCUCAGGAAAAACAAACAAACAACAGGGAAAAGAGAAAUUCAUGCGCUAAGAUAAGGUCAGGACCAAUUUAUGAUUGAUGUGCUAAAGAGCAAGAGGGAAUGGAAAGCUCUUUCUCCAUCCCAAAGCAGCAUGGUAGUCUUGGACCAGUAGGAGGUACAUGACAUGCAUAGAAAUAGUUGUCAGGCACACAUAGAAGGUAGCUAGCAAGAAAAGAGGAACAUUCUUUUCUGUGGGUUCGCUCUGGGUGUAACAGAUGAGCAUGGGAGGAGCACGUUGAACAUCAGGGAGAAGUUUUCUAAUGGUACAGAUAGUGAAACUGGAGUUCUGCCUCAGAGUGGGCUCUCCAUCACUGGAAACUUCAAGUAAAAUGCCAAUCUGGCAGGAGCGUCUUAUGCACGGGUAAUCCGACUGUGCAGUAAGGUGAUCAUCAAAGU